rnacentral:rRNA from 1 species
UACGGGGGGGGCAAGCGUUGUUCGGAAUUACUGGGCGUAAAGCGCGUGUAGGCGGCUCUUCAAGUCGAGUGUGAAAGCUCCAGGCUUAACCUGGGAAUUGCGCUCGAUACUGUUGAGCUAGAGUGUGGAAGGGGCUACUGGAAUUCCGUGUGUAGCAGUGAAAUGCGUAGAGAUGUGGAGGAACACCGAUGGCGAAGGCAGCCUCCUGGGCCAGCACUGACGCUCAUGCACGAAAGCGUGGGGAGCAAACAGG